rnacentral:ncRNA from 1 species
CACCGAAAAUGGCCAUCCGCGAGCGAAAGCUGUGGAGCGCAAAGCCGCUCGACCUAAACGCGCGACGCGCGCGCACGGUCCGGAGCGGUUGCCGAA